GCCAGUGUCUCCGCCGGUUGAAAGCGCGUGUCUGCGUCGGGUUCUGUUGGAGUGCGUUCGGUGCGCCGUGGGUCCGCGCUGCUUCCACCCAACUUCCUGUUAGUUUCUCUCCUGUCACAAUGGCAUGAUCUCGGCUCACUGCGACCUCUGCUUCCUGGGUUCAAGGAUUCUCCUGCCUCAGCCUCCCAAGUAGCUGGGAUUACAGUUUCCAUCAUUAUCUUCUAUGGAGUUCUUCAUUCCCACAUCUGUGGACCUUAAAAUCCUACCGUUGAGUGCCUGCCUUGGAUCAGCAGUCAGUUCGUUACCUUGGUUCUCAGACGAUGCUUGCAACAACGCCAUGCGAUUCGCCCACUCUUGGAGAAAAUAAGAGAAGUAUCCCUGAAGGAUGAAAUAUCCUCGAAUAUGAAAAGGUCUGCUCUCUGAAGACCAACUGUCUCAGUCUGCUUUUUGCUGCUGUAACAGAAUACCACAGACUUGGUUACAUUAGUUAUACACUCUGGAGGUGACUUGACCUGUCAUUGUGAACAAUUAUUGCUCUUGGACGACCCAGGACAUAGGCCAGCCAGUACGUACCCCAGUGUGUUGGAGAAUCGCGCUCGGCUUCUUCCUCUGUGCUGAGUCAUGAAAGUUGCCGGAGCAGGUGCAGUUACACAACCUCCAGACAUCUAGGCUUGCUGUCAAGGCUUCUGAUCAACAUGAGAUGACCGCCGUGUGGUAAACUGAUGAACCCUGACCCUGAUCAACAUGAGAUGACCGCCGUGUGGUAAACUGAUGAACCCCGACCCUGAUGAACGUGAGAUGACCGCCGUGUGGUAAACUGAUGAACCCCGACCCUGAUGAACGUGAGAUGACCGCCGUGUGGUAAACUGAUGAACCCCGACCCUGAUGAACGUGAGAUGACCGCCGUGUGGUAAACUGAUGAACCCCGACCCUGAUGAACGUGAGAUGACCGCCGUGUGGUAAACUGAUGAACCCCGACCCUGAUCAACGUGAGAUGACCGCCGUGUGGUAAACUGAUGAACCCCGACCCUGAUGAACAUGAGAUGACCGCCGUGUGGUAAACUGAUGAACCCCGACCCUGAUCAACAUGAGAUGACCGCCGUGUGGUAAACUGAUGAACCCCGACCCUGAUCAACAUGAGAUGACUGCCGUGUGGUAAACUGAUGAACCCUGACCCAUUAGGCUUUGGCUACAGAAUGUGGAAAUAAGUUGUGUUACUACAUGUGUGUAAUCCUAGGGUGCAGGACACCGGCCGGGAGGUUCCAUAGAGUGAUGGGUUCUGCAGGUAACUCAUCCUCUAGUCCUCUGUAAGCUCCUAGAAGGAAGAAAUUAUGUCCUUUAGACUAAUAAAAUUCCUCCAAACCAAAUACAGCACCUACUGUGAAGACACAAAGAUACUUUUAGAAUAGUAAAAACUUUAUCCAUUGAGAAAUUCCUUAAUGAAACAGUAUCCAAGAAGUCAUUUGCCAGCAGAUUUCUUAGAGGUGCGAUAAAGAAGAGGACAUUGCCAGUCGUCACAGCAGCUGCAAUAGCUCCUCUCUAUUGUUAAACAGUGGGAUAUCUUGUGCAGGUUUUCAGUUGACAAUCAAUUUUAAAGAUUAGUUUCGGUCCCCAUCAAUCAAUUAUUUAUUAACCCAUCAAUAAAAAUUUAAAUGCUCUGUGAGGUACAAUAGCUAUUAAAAGAGACAGAGGCACUUUCUGUGUCCAGAGGGGCUUUUAGUCUGCUCUGGAAAGCAAGAUGCGUGCAGAUGAGUGACGCAGUGCAUCGUGUGGAUGCAAAGGGAGGGACUCACAUGGGAACCAGAGGAGCUACGAAGGGAGGCAGUGGGGACUGGUGGGUCGAGACCUGGAAAUAACACAUGAAUAGGCAACAAAGGUUUCCUUUCCUCUUCCAUGCACUUCAGUCCUUGAAAAACGUCUUACCACGGAAUUCCACAGCGUACCAAGCGAUUCCACAGCUUGAUGGCACACUCUCCUUUCUCAGCAUUCUUGAAAAUGGCGUGUGAGCCAAGCCAUCUUACUGAGAAAUUACCUUAAACCAUUUGAUGAACCAAAAAUAUUUUGUAAUACCCAUCUCCGACAUUAGGUAGGCAAAUCACACAGAAACACCGAGGUCUUCUGAGUCAUAUUUAUCUGAAAAAUCACAGCUUGGGUGCAUGUGAAGCCAGAGGAGCACUCCUGGGGCCUGCGGUGCCAUCACUCAGCUCCCCUGGGCUUCACAUGGCCAUGGAGCACCCAGCAAGUGUAGGCUCUGAGCCUUCAGGGAGGGGCGGCAUCAGCCAGCACCAUCGUCUCCUGGGUCUUGUGCCUCUUCCUUGGUUGCGGUGUUGUCAGGGCCAGAAUUGGGCAAUUCCGGGUGACAUCCAGGUGUGGCUGCUGACACGGAGCACAGGUGAGGUUCACUGAGGACACCCUGCUCCUGUGGUUUGCAGCCCCGGCCUUCUCUUCGAGGACGCCUCUGCUCUUCUGCCUCACACUCGGAUUGGACCUUCUUCAGCACAGCCAGUGGCCGAGGCUUCCUCCCUGGGGCUCAGUGGAGCAGGACAGAUGCUGCAUCCAAACUCUUCCAUUGGGUUCCAGUCUGUUCCAGUCAUGCCCUUGAGCCUCUAAAGCUCCUAGGUGAGAGACGUAGCAGCUGACAGCACUUCCCACUUGAUUUGGGUGGACUCCAGCCUCCCCAGCAACAAUAAGAGAUCAAAAGCAUCGUUGAGGAAGCAGCUUGCUGAAACGCUGAGUGCCCGCCACUCUCAGGUCAGGUGGGACCGGCAGGCCAGCAUGAGUUCCUGAACACUUGGUUCUCAAUACUGGCCACAGCCACACUGUAAGGGGAAACAAGAGGGCACUGUAUGCAAACAUCUCUUGAACUCUGGAGUCUGCUCACCUUCCUGCCUCAAGCCCCUCUCCCACGUGGUCCAGUCACCAUUCUCCACAGAGACUACCCUAAAACCCAGCGACUCUCGUGUGCCUGCAGAAUGGCACAGCCCGUUCUCAUAGCAGCACUCCUGUUUAAUCAGAGGGAUGUUAACGACCAAGUCAUAUUUGCUCGAUUUGUGUUCAACAUAUUUCAUUUGUACCGAUAAAACUUAAAAAUAUCCCC
rnacentral:lncRNA from 1 species